UACGUAGGGGGCAAGCGUUGUCCGGAAUCAUUGGGCGUAAAGCGCGUGUAGGCGGCUCGGUAAGUCUGCUGUGAAAGUCCAGGGCUCAACCCUGGGAUGCCGGUGGAUACUGUCGAGCUCGAGUCCGGAAGAGGCGAGUGGAAUUCCUGGUGUAGCGGUGAAAUGCGCAGAUAUCAGGAGGAACACCAGUGGCGAAGGCG
rnacentral:rRNA from 1 species